CGCCCCCCGCGCCCCGCCCCCGCCGCGCCCCUGACCAUAGAGGCGGGCCUCCGGAUCUGCCCCGUCCUCUGCUUCGAGCCCUGCUGCAGUCCCCGCUGAGCUCCAGCAGCGUGGCGGUACCCAAGUCAAAUGCACUCCGCUUGCACCUGGCUCACCCCGGCAAAACCAUUAUCUGCUGCUUAAAUUAAAGAGAUUUUUUAUUUUCAAAACUAAGAUUAAAAAGUCAAUCUGAUGAGCUAUUGGUAUGCUUUAACCUUUGCUACAUGACACAGAACUGAGGAGAUAAUUAAGGCCAGCAGCUGACUGGAAGGCUGAUGUUCUGGCCCAACAAAGGCUCUUCCAAACAAGUUUUACCGGGUACGGGUUAGAAAAAGGUUCUUAAAAACAUCCUGUGUGCAGAGGGUGCCUUCCUAGCUUCUCCAGUGGGUAGUCACAGGAGACGCUUCCCUGUGCCUGCACUUCUACACCAGCUUCAGUAAUGAGGGAACGACGGAGGAACACGUCCAAAAACCCAAUUCCUCAACUCCAGAUAUUAAAUACUCCUCCAUAAAAUGGCAGAGUUGCAAAUCAGAGAGAGGUUUUUAAUGAUAAGAGCCUCUGCGUUACUUCAUUGCUUCCACAUCCAUAACAGGUGAAAUAGAUUUGAACUGAUUCUUGCGUCAUCAAGAGACAUUAAAUUCUAAUGGGAUUUUUAUCAUUGUAAUGCUUAGGCCAGAAACAGGGUUUGACAUUCCUAAUAUCAAGUUGAGUUUGUGGGGCUGGUCUUUACAAGACUAUUUUCAAAGAUUGUUACAAUAUUUUUACUUCCAAUCUAUGCAGAUCUAACAUGGUAUUGGUGAGAGACAAUGAAAUAUAGAAUCCCAGACUGUAAUUUGUAUUGCCAUUCUCCAGUAUUACAGCCACAUGUAUAACACAAUAUCUUUCCUGUUCGUUGUGGAAUGUGAACUGAAGAGAAAUAACCCUGAGAAGAAAAAAAACCCAAAAAACAAUAACAUACAACAGUUUUACCUCUGAGAGAGGAGAAAAAAAUCCAAACCAACACUGAAUAUUCUUUGUGGGCCACAAAUCCAUUGUUCUUUUCUGUUUUAGCAAAGACUAACUGCUCAAAAUGCUUCCUACCCAGCUGCACCUACCAAUAAAAUAAGCAGGAGCUGCUUUGCUCACAGAAAACAAGAACCUAACUGUGUGGGCUGCACAGCACUUUCACUGUUUAGAUGGUAAAAGAAAAUUACAGUAAUUAUGACGUAUAUCAAAACCUGCUCAGCCUGAAGUAAAUGACAGAAGUCCUGCUUGUGUUAAUGGUUCUAGUCUUGGCUCAUUAGUUAACACUGUGAGUUCUCCACAAGGAUUCAUAUAAAACAGAUAUUCUGCCUUAAAACACUAUUUUUCUUGUGUCAAAAUGGAUUGGAUUUUUGUUGUGGGUUUUUUUCUUUUUCCUAGAAAGAAGAAACAAGACUCAUGCUGUUUUUAAUAUUUACUAUUUCCUCACUGUUUCACAAAUACCCAGGCCAUGUUCCAGCAGACACCCUUGUGAAGACCACAGAGGCCUGCAAAAGUCCCCUCAAGGCUGUGGAGCUGCUUCACCUGAGCUUGUAUCAGGACCUUGGACUAACCUCCUGGAUGCGAAUUUCCAGCAGUUUGCAAGAGUUUGUCCUCCUACCCUGCCUCAUUUUGAAUUUUGCCAAAGCCUUGAGCAGGGACCAGUCCCUUCUAGCCAAGUGGGACUGGCAGGGUGCAAAGCCCCUGGCCCCACAGCAAUGCCAUGCUGCAGGGCCAAGGAGGGGCUGGCCCUGCUCCAGCACACAGACGCAGGAAGCAAUCAUGGCUGUCCGAGCAUGGGAGCAGCUUCCUUUUCCCACGGUGGUGGAAGGAAACCAGAUCUGAACUGUCACUCGCAGACUCACUCAUUGUUAUGUGCUCGGACAAGGGCAUAUUUAUCGUUCUUGCUGUGACAUUGCUUUAUCUGUUUAACUGUAAGCUUGAAUUUCACCAGCAUAAUAUUUAGCAAUUUCAAAUAAGACCAACAGGAAAACAUUCAGGACAAUGAAGACCUGCAAAGCUGCAACACUGUAAGUCUGUAAUGUUGGUUCCAAAAAGGCUUGGGGGAAAGAUGAGAAAAAGCCUGUAAAACCUACUGAGAUGUUAGAGGAAGAUAUUCUGCCUGAAGCACUGUAUUUCCACCAGGAAGAACUUAGCUUGGUGAAACAACAGUAGUGAAUAUAACUAAGAAAUUACUGUUAAAAAUAGAGUGAGAACGAGGAGGAAAGACCUUAGAAAACACACUCUUCUGCAACUGUUGUUCACUGUUCUCACAGCCAGGCAAGGAUGAGUUUCAAAGCAUUUUCAGGGCAGGUGCAAGGACAGCGACAGAAGAGCCAAGGCACAGUGGCUGUAAGCUCCCUUAGGUAGCAGCCUAAUGUGAAUGGAGCCCACAGCAGGGCAUGUCUGCCUUGCCCUAGGGUGAGGAAGUUUUGAAUGACACAGCCCCUGGUGGGGCACUGAGGCUGCCCUUUAUGCUACGUCUGUACUUAAGUGAGACACUGCAAUGAGAAGUAAGGCUGAUACACAUCUCGGGUCUUUCCUGCUGUCAGCCACACUGAUGCACAUGCAAAUAUGGUGAUGUCACUUGCAAAUUCACCGCACAUAAAUGAGACAGAACACGUCUUUGGUAACAGCAUCUCAUUUGAACAAUGUGUUUUUUUCACUAGGCAUAUGGGGAUUUGUUUUCAUGCUUCCAAGGGAAUUUUCCAAUCAAUGGAAAAUAAAAUGUACAAGGUAUUAAGAAAACCAAAAUGAACUACCAAACAAUAGCAUUAGCCCUGUUUAUUUUUAGAUAGUGCAAUUUUCAGGCACUUUAAGAGGAUUUCUCAGGAUGGGUUCACUGUUAUCCAAGAGUUUUUCAGCACUGACGCCACACAACUGUUAUCAUUGUUAGGACUCAGGGGACUGUUCUUUUUGACAGGGCCUUUCAAGAAGUCAACAAAUCAGUUUAAAAUAAGUCAUAAAUUAUACUUGGCUGCCUAUCAGCUUGGCCAGAGCGUUCUCUCAGUGCUGUCAUAAGUGUUAGGGAAAGAGGAUAACAACAUGGCCCAAUGUUUAGCAUUUAGGGAAUAUUUUGUUCCCAAUUUAAAAACAAAGUAUCCCCAUAGCAUUGACUCUGAUGACUAAAUAUAUGCUAAAACAGUAAUCAAGAUGUUCACACUUUACUCCAAAUAAAUACACCCAUUCUGAAUCCUAAGUAAUGCCCUAAUAAAUAAUGGAUUUGUUACAGGUCUUCUGCUGCAAAUGCCUGCCACUCACAGCUACAUUAGGGAGCUGUCAGCAGGAUCAUCUCCCACAUCUCACCUCCUGUACCUGUAUGUGAAGAGACUUGGUUCCUGAUAACCAGGAUCCAAGCCUUACAUAGCCCUCUAGAUUAUUAUUAACAUCCUGAACUGCAGCCAGAAUGAACUGAAAAGACAAUACUGUCUACUCAUAGUCUGCUGAGUUAUCAGCUAAGGCUUCAGCCAGUGCAGCCAAACAAGUAAUCACACGCAGAGGCUGUUACCAUUGGAAGCAUUCAGUUACUUAUUUUACAUAGAUUUUCCCAUCAGUGUUAAAUCUGAGGUGUCACGCAGAGCCAUUAAUACACCCCCAUGAGCUCAGUAGGAGUUAAAGGUCAGAAUAGUGAGAGCAGCUGUGGGAAGACUGUAAUUAUACAGAAGUGGGGACACAAUGUGUAGAAAGAGAAAUAGAGUGUCCCCUGGUGAUGUUAGAAGCAGUCUGGCUCUUGAAGUACCUUUCUUCAGCACUGACACAAUUCCUUCGCAUGCCUUCCCUUGACCUACCAGAGUCGCUCACACCUUAGCUGAAUUGAUUGCUGGUUUCUGCUCCUUUUCCAGGGCUCUGCUUUAUCUUGGGAAAAUGGAGGGACAUUCCCUCCAUGAAAGAGGGACAGGCAGAUAGACACUAAACAUCACAGCCCAAGUCUCACAUACUUGAACAGAGAGAAGACUGACUGAAACCUCCUUUGUGCUGGAAAGUCAAUUCCUUUCUGUUCUUUCUGAUGGGCAGGAAAAGCACUAUCCACUGCAAUCGACAACCAGUCUGGUCUGUCCUGCCAAGAUCUCAGACUGAUAAAGCCUCUGUAGCACCACAAACCAGAGCUUGCUCUCACUCUCACGAUUACACCAAGAGCUUUAAGGAAAUGGUAAAUUGAAUUCCUUGCCUCAGAGGGAAUUUAUUUCCCCUUUGGCCCAGUGAAAUAAUCUGUGCCAGACAUUACUUUUGGCCUUUAGACUCAUAAAAGCCUGUCUGAAAGCUACUAUGGCUUCCUUUUUCUACGUCUCUGAAGCACAGAAAGUAGCAAUAACUGUCCAGCAUUUGAGAAAAAAAAAAAAAAAGUUUUUGUGAGUAUGCAUUUGUAAGGGUUUUUAGUCUUGGAUUUUUCUAACCCUACUCUGUCUCUUUGUAAUCUACUGCAAGACAAACCAUACUCUGCAAUGAACUCACCAAGGUCUUUGCCAUCACCCAGUAUCAGUAGGUAAAUUUUGUUUACUUUCAACAGGAGAUUUUUAAUUAAUUUAAUACAAAAAUGAUUUGCACUGCUCUAGGGGCAAUCCCUGAAAAGAUGUAUUUUGAUCUUGAUCUUAUUUUCUUGUAUGCUGGCCUCACAUUUCUUGAUUUGGGGGAUAGCAAAUGGUCUCCUUUGCAUAGCACAUACUUGCUUUACAAAAGACGUAAGGCUCAAGCCUGGAUACGUAAGCACGUAGGCAUGAGACAGGUAAGCCUUCAGUGUUCAAGGAGGAGGAGGAAAUUGUAUGUUGUGGGAUAGACACACAAAUGUAAUAUUUUGACUCUAGAAGGAUUAGCAAUGAAACAGUUAAUAGACAUUUUUAUGUUUCAUAAUAUAUGAUAUCUCACUGUGAUAAUGAACUACCAGCCAUGUUCGUAGCAGUCACUGUCUUGUUUUAGAGAUAACACUGCUUAGUCUGUGGA